rnacentral:rRNA from 1 species
UGUAAUGGGGGAUAACGUAGCGAAAGUUACGCUAAUACCGCAUACGCUCGAGAGAGGAAAGUGGGGAUCGCAAGACCUCACGUUAUAGGAGCGGCCGAUGUCCGAUUAGCUAGUUGGUGGGGUAAAGGCCUACCAAGGCGACGAUCGGUAGCUGGUCUGAGAGGAUGAUCAGCCACACUGGGACUGAGACACGGCCCAGACUCCUACGGGAGGCAGCAGUGGGAAUUUUGGACAAUGGGCGAAAGCCUGAUCCAGCCAUGCCGCGUGCGGGAAGAAGGCCGUUCGGGUUGUAAACCGUCUUUAGUACCGGGAAAAGGGGUGCGAGGAUAAUACCCUCGUGCUUUGAUGGUACUGGAAGAAUAAGCACCGGCUAACUACGUG